rnacentral:rRNA from 2 species
ACGGGAGGCAGCAGUAGGGAAUAUUGCGCAAUGGGGGAAACCCUGACGCAGCAAUACCGCGUGAAGGAUGAAGGUUUUCGGAUUGUAAACUUCAGCAAGCAGGGAAGAAAAAAAUGACGGUACCUGAACAAAAGCCACGGCUAACUACGUGCCAGCAGCCGCGGUAAUACGUAGGUGGCAAGCGUUGUCCGGAUUUACUGGGUGUAAAGGGCGUGUAGGCGGGUGCCUAAGUCAGACGUGAAAUACCGAAGCUCAACUUCGGGGCUGCGUUUGAAACUGGGUGUCUUGAGUGCAGGAGAGGAUAGUGGAAUUCCUAGUGUAGCGGUGAAAUGCGUAGAGAUUAGGAGGAACACCAGUGGCGAAGGCGACUAUCUGGACUGUAACUGACGCUGAGGCGCGAAAGUGUGGGGAGCAAACAGGAUUAGAUACCCUGGUA